GAGUUUGAUCCUGGCUCAGCUUAUCGCUGGCGGCAGGCCUAACACAUGCAAGUCGAGCGCAGUCCUUCGGGACCGAGCGGCGGACGGGUUAGUAACGCGUGAGACGUACUCAGAUCUAAGGAAUAGCCUCGGGAACUGAGAGUAAUACCUUAUACGCCUUCGGGGGAAGAUUUAUCGGAUUGGAUCGGGCCGCGUAGAUAGAUAGUGUGGGUAUGUCUACAGUCUACGAUCUAUAGCUGUUAGAGAUGAUCAGCACACUAACUGAGACACGCAGACUCUACGAGCAGCAGUGGAUCUAGACAUGCGCAGCUGAUCUAGCAUGCGCGUGUGUGAUGAGCUAGUCGUAAGACUCGCGAGAUGAUAUGACGUAUCUGUAGAUCAR
rnacentral:rRNA from 1 species